rnacentral:rRNA from 1 species
UACAGAGGUCUCAAGCGUUGUUCGGAUUCAUUGGGCGUAAAGGGUGCGUAGGUGGCGCUGUAAGUCGGGUGUGAAAUUUCGGAGCUUAACUCCGAAACUGCAUUCGAUACUGCGGUGCUUGAGGACUGGAGAGGAGACUGGAAUUCAUGGUGUAGCAGUGAAAUGCGUAGAAAUCAUGAGGAAGACCAGUGGCGAAGGCGGGUCUCUGGGCCGAUACUGACGCUGAGGAGCGAAAGCGUGGGGAGCGAACAGG